AGAAGGUUUCUUUGCGACCAAAAAAAUAAAAAAAUCAAAGAAAUUCUCUUACGUAAACCGACCCACACGGACCCAGGCUCAGGAGAAAUCGAGAUUUAAACGUGUACGCACUCGGUAUAUUAUUGAUGGUGAUAAUCGCGUUUAUUAAGAUGCCUUUGAGAAAUCAAUGAACUUAAUUACAAGUAACGAUCGUAUAUUCGUCGUCGGUGAAUACAAUCUCACAGUUAGACAAUCAGAUAUGCGAACGUGCGAAGAAUACCAUAAUAAACUUAACCCACUAUUCUACGGUAUACGAUUUGGAAUAAUAAAGUAUUGAUUGCGAGUUUGUUUUUCUGCGAUAAUUCCAUCGCCUGUGUCAGAAAACUGUAAAGUGAUAACGAGUGUGUAGAGUUCCAGACAGACUUAAAAAAAAAACAACUCAUUGGAAAAGUAUGAAGAAAAGAAGCUCUUUUUACAGGAAGCAGGAACAAAUGCGCCAAAUGAAUGUACAGUUGAACAUCUGUUGAAAUAAAUUGGAAAUAAACACAUUUCUGCAUCAAA